rnacentral:lncRNA from 1 species
AAGAGUUAAUUACCAGCAGGUACAUGCUUGGAACAACAUUAAGGAGAGGAGAAUGAACCUGGCAUGCUUAUUCUGCUCAAGGCUCCUCGUGAGCAUCAAAAGACACCAUUCAAAGCUAUUCGUAUAGUUCAAUGGUCAGCCAAGCAUUGAAGACAUUCCAUGAAUCUUUCCAGCUGAGUUAACACCAUCUAGAAGCUAUCCAUUCAAGUCUUACAAGCUAAGAAACUUCCCUUGGACGUUCUAGGAAGCUACAUGGAAUUUUCCAGCCUAAUUAGCAUUUAUUUUGCUGACCAUUCAGCAUCUUUGCUUGUCUAUUCGGC